CUUUAGUGUAGAAAACCAACCAAACCAAACCCAAACCAACAAAACCCUUCACCUAAAACCCGAAGCUACCCAGACCUCAGAAUUUUGGAUGUCUAUUAAGUUGGCGGUCCCCAGCAGUUCUUUAUAGAAGUGUGAAAACAGACUAAUACAAUCCUGAAGCAUUUCAUCAAAGAAUUGUAACAGGAGAUGAAAUAUGGCUUCACCAGUAUGAUCCUGAAGAAAAAGCACAAUCAAAGCAAUGUCUAUCAAGCGGAGGAAGUCAAAGCAAAGCAGACCAGUCAAGAGCAAAGGUUGGAGUGGCUCUGGUGACAACUCACUCUGUUCUCAUGGUCACAAAUCCCUGCUCACUGCUGCCACUGCUGCUGCCACCACAGACCAAGAGCUCCACUUGCACAGUGCUGCUGGCUAAGAAGAAGUUGCUGUACCUGAGCACUGGACCACAUGGACUCACAGAGACUCCCAACCAAGUAAAGGGGUGAUAUGGCUUGUGGAUGUCAACCAUAUUCUCUUCUUGAUCACCUCGCUGCUGGAACAAUGGGCCAUGGUCAGAGUAGAGUGGUCAUGGAGGUUGAAUAGAUGCCAUGAAUGGGUCCAAGAACAUGGACACUCUCUUUCACCAAAAUCAAUUCGGGUCUUGCCACUGUUAAUCACCUAACUUGCCAACAGCAGAGACUAUCGCUGAGUCUUUGAGAUGGCACUGCUCUUGGAGAGAUCAGGCAGCCAUCCAGUGAGAGGUUGACCCCUCUGCUUUGGAGGGGAUGGACAUUCAUCCUUAUCACCAUUGAUACUUGCUCUAGACAUGAGUUUUCCUUCUCUGCCUGAAAUUCCUCUGCCACUACCACCAUAUGAGGGCUUACAGAUUUCCCAAUCCAUCAACCUGCUUCUCACACACAUUAGCUCAGAGUAAAGGACUCAUUUUAUGGCAAAGAAUGUAAAAUGAUGGGCUCAUUGGUCUUAUUAUAUACCAUGCCACCCAGAAGCAGUCAACCUAGUGGAAUGAUGAGCUGGCCUGUUGAAAGCUCAGCUAAGGUGCCAGCUCAGAGAUGACACCCUGUAGGGUUGGAAGUUGGAGCACUGCUUUCCAGGAUGUGAUACAUAUGCUGAAUCAAUACCAAUCUAUGGUUCAGUGUCCCCACAUAACUAGAAUAUAUGAGUCCAGGAACCAAGGGAUAGAAGUAGAAUUGAUCCCUUCAGUUAUCACUCCCAGGGACUUACUUGUGGAAUUUGUAUCUUACUGUUCCUGCAAACUUAAAUUCUGCCAGUUUAGAGGUCUAAGUUUCCAGGAAGUAAAUGCUUUCUCCAGUGGAGGUGGGAAAGGCUCCAGUGAACUGGAAGUUGUGACUAUCACUCAGCUGUUUGGGGCUCCUCAUAACAGUGGACCAGCAGGCAAAGGAAAGAGUUGCCUUAUGGCUAGAAUAAUUGGCCUUGAUUACCAUGAGAAGCUAGGGUUGCUGCAAUGCAAUGGGAGAAGAUAAGAGUAUGACUGCAACCCACGGGAUUUGCUGGAAGUAUCCCCCAUACUUUUGUGCUCACUGAUGAUUGUAAAUGGGCAGUUACAACAACCCAAACCUAACAAAUGCAAAGCAUCUAACAACUCAGUCCCCUCGGGGUAGAGGUCUGGGUCACUCCAUCAGACUACAGCACAGACUUACUGAACUGCUAGAUGGUUGUUGGGGGACACCUAGAGUGGGUGGUGGAAGUGAGAUGCAAAAUAUCAAUUAGGACUCUGGGAUCAGCUGUGGCAGUGGAGAUUUUCAGGAGAUUGCAAUUGGCCAUUGACACCAAUUGCCAGGAAAGACUGCUCACUAACCUGAGGGAACCUGUAGGGCUUAGCUUCUCUGGUAGCUUCCUGAAUGGGCUGAGUGACGCGACCUGGAAAUGGAAGGAUGCUUUGUUCCCAUGCAGAAAACCCUGAGCAAUGGAAUUCUGAAGAUGGUUAUAUGUGCUUAUCCACUGGUGGAGCCAUGAGUAGUGCUGCGUCCUCAAUAGUUAGAAUACAUGGAUGGGGCUUGGAGCCAGCAUAAAGACAAAAUCAGAAUAGCUAUUAAUCCCAUCCUGUAGACAUAACCCCCAUAAUUAUUUUGAUGUAAUUACUUCCAAUUUUUUCC
rnacentral:lncRNA from 1 species